ACAUUAUUGCUAUAAAUUAAACAUUCUAAUCCAAUUUACUUUUGUUCCACAAAUCUGAUUGGUUAAUCGUGUGAGAUUUUAGACUAUAAAAUAUCGCCUUGACGCUGGCAAAAUAUUUGACCAUUUAAUAUAAGUAAU